UACGGAAGGCAGCAGUGGGGAAUAUUGCACAAUGGGCGAAAGCCUGAUGCAGCUAUGCCGCGUGUAUGAAGAAGGCCUUAGGGUUGUAAAGUACUUUCAUCGGGGAGGAAAAAACAAAACUAAUAAUUUUAUUUCUUGACGUUACCCGAAAAAGAAGCACCGGCUAACUCCGUGCCAGCAGCCGCGGUAAUACGGAGGGUGCUAGCGUUAAUCAGAAUUACUGGGCGUAAAGAGCACGUAGGUGGUUUUUUUAAGUCAGAUGUGAAAUCCCUGGGCUUAACCUAGGAACUGCAUUUUGAAACUGAAAUACUAGAGUAUCGUAGAGGGAGGUAGAAUUCUAGGUGUAGCGGUGAAAUGCGUAGAUAUCUGGAGGAAUACCUGUGGCGAAAGCGGCCUCCUAAACGAAUACUGACGCUAAAGGUGCGAAAGCGUGGGGAGCAAACAGGGAUUAGAUACC
rnacentral:rRNA from 1 species